AGUCGAGCGGUAGCGGGAAGAGCUUGCUCUUUGCCGACGAGCGGCGGACGGGUGCGUAACACGUAGGAAUCUGCCUGGUAGUGGGGGAUAGCCCGGAGAAAUCCGGAUUAAUACCGCAUACGCCCUACGGGGGAAAGGAGGGGACUCUUCGGAGCCUUUCGCUAUCAGAUGAGCCUGCGUCGGAUUAGCUGGUUGGUGGGGUAAAGGCCUACCAAGGCGACGAUCCGUAGCUGGUCUGAGAGGAUGAUCAGCCACACUGGGACUGAGACACGGCCCAGACUCCUACGGGAGGCAGCAGUGGGGAAUAUUGCACAAUGGGCGAAAGCCUGAUGCAGCCAUGCCGCGUGUGUGAAGAAGGCCCUAGGGUUGUAAAGCACUUUCAGUGGGGAGGAAAGGUUGAAGGUUAAUACCCUUCAGCUGUGACGUUACCCACAGAAGAAGCACCGGCUAACUCCGUGCCAGCAGCCGCGGUAAUACGGAGGGUGCGAGCGUUAAUCGGAAUUACUGGGCGUAAAGCGUGCGUAGGCGGCUACCUAAGUUGGAUGUGAAAGCCCCGGGCUCAACCUGGGAACUGCAUCCAAAACUGGGUGGCUAGAGUACGGGAGAGGAGUGUGGAAUUUCCUGUGUAGCGGUGAAAUGCGUAGAUAUAGGAAGGAACACCAGUGGCGAAGGCGACACUCUGGCCUGAUACUGACGCUGAGGUACGAAAGCGUGGGGAGCAAACAGGAUUAGAUACCCCGGUAGUCCACGCCGUAAACGAUGUCUACUAGUUGUCGGUUGUCUUGUACGACGGGUAACGCAGCUAACGCGAUAAGUAGACCGCCUGGGGAGUACG
rnacentral:rRNA from 1 species